rnacentral:rRNA from 1 species
CGUAGGGUGCGAGCGUUAAUCGGAAUUACUGGGCGUAAAGCGUGCGCAGGCGGUUUGUUAAGAUAGGCGUGAAAUCCCCGGGCUCAACCUGGGAACUGCGCUUAUGACUGGCAAGCUAGAGUACGGCAGAGGGGGGUGGAAUUCCACGUGUAGCAGUGAAAUGCGUAGAGAUGUGGAGGAACACCAAUGGCGAAGGCAGCCCCCUGGGUCGAUACUGACGCUCAUGCACGAAAGCGUGGGUAGCAAACAGGAUUAGAUACCCUGGUAGUCCACGCCCUAAACGAUGUCAACUAGGUGUUGGGAGGGUAAACCUUUUAGUACCGGAGCUAACGCGUGAAGUUGACCGCCUGGGGAGUACGGCCGCAAGGUUA